AUGGUUUCACGGUUCCAUGAUUAGCCCAUUCACUCCCACAGAGAACGACUGGGAUUACUGGGAAGGCUCCAUCUUCACCCGGAGCAUUCCUGGGGCAGCUGGAGAUCCCGGCCAAGGAAUGAAAUCCAGGGAAUGUCUGAGUGGUGACGAUCCUGUGGGAUUUGCCUUGCCAUCCGAGGGGGAAGGCUGAAAUCCAAGCAGAGCUUAUAGAGCUGUAAAAGGGGACAAUAUUGGGCUAUUAAAAUACAAAUUACUGUUAAAUCCCAAGGGGAAAGGGAUAAAGGCAGGGACACCAGCGCUGGUUCUAAUCAGCAGUAUCUAAUUAAAUCCUCUGUUUGAGGUUUCAGUGGGAAUUAGCAAUGAUUGGAAUUCAGUCUGGUGUUCAGGAGCUUUCAUCAGGUGUCCUUGGGAGAUACCUGAAGAUAAAAAGCUAUUGGAUGUGUUCAGUCCAGAGAGAAAAAUGGUGUUAAAUAAUUCUGAUUGUUUAGAUUAGCUCAGGCAAAUGGAGCUUUUGUGUCAUUUCAGCUCUGUGAAAUCAGCAUGGGAAGGUGGGAGAUUGGAUUCCUGGUCAAAGGGAUGCUCAGAGAGGAAUUCCUGGGAUUAAAAGUUUGGGGAUCACUCAAACGAUGGCCCCACAGUGCGGGAGUGACAAAGGAAGAGCUCCAUUGGGCUGCUUUGGACUGGGAGUCUCUCAGAAUCUCCUCUUCGUGUUUUGCUGGCAUUAUUUUAUCAUUAAUUAAUUUUCAUCUUUACAGAGAGUCACACUUGUGUUCUGAACAAAACUCCUGUUGUGCUUUAGCACUGAAAUCUGGGAAUUCUCAAAGCUGUUGUCACAUUUUUGUCCUGGAGCUGGCACUGUGGGAGGGGAAGGGACCAGCAGGAGCUGAGCCCUGAGCACGGGAACUAAACCAGAGCCAGGGCAUCCCAAAAAAAACCACCCAAAAUCAGGGAAUGCUUUUCCUGGGAUCUCUUUGAGUCUCCAUUUCUUCAUGUGCAAAGAAGAGAAAAAAAAUUUUGCUUUUCUCCCCUCAGAGUUUACUCAUUUAUGAGGGACUUCCACCCUGCAGCCAGCAGUCCUUUGAGCCCCAGGAAAUUGUGUCCCGUUUUCCACCCAGAGCCAGGAUGGAAUUCUCAGGAACACUGAGGCCACGGGCUGUGUAAACAGCAUAAAAUAAUCAGAAUAUGGGGUUAUAACCUCUGGAAGAAGAGGCAGCAACAAAGGGAAGCAUGAGGAGAAUCUCUGGACCUUGUUGGAUGUGACAAAGGUGAGGAAAAAGCUCAGCUGAAAUGGGCAUUGUUAAUGCCUUGGAAAACACCCUGGGUGUGUUUAGAGGACUCUGAGCUCAUGGAAUGUGUAUUUUCAGGGAUGAAACCUGCAUUUCUGAUUGAAUAAGCAGCCUUCGAGGGUGAAAAAAUUCCAGAAUUCCAUUUCUGAUUUGAAUGGGGCUCAGCACUCGGCCUUCAUUCACAGGGAUGAGCUCAGCCCAGUGCUGAGUUCUAUGAGCUCCUCAGCAAAUUCCAAGUCCUGCUAGAGGGCAUUUCUUCCUCAGAUCUUCCCUUAAAGAAGAUUUUUUUAUUCCCUGGCCACUCAUUAACAGCGUUUCAGGUAUUUCUUGCACCUUUAGUGCCUACAAGGCUUUCCAGAGAGAAAAUAAAACACUUUUCACCCAAAACCUCUCCAUGUCAGAGCAAAACACAAUGCAAGGGCCCAACCCAGCCUGCCCAUGACUAUUUUAUCUAUUUGGGGUUUUUUUUCCCCUCCAUAUCAACAUGGAAUUUCUGCCCACAGGAAUCACUUUUGCUGCCAAAUUAUCUGCUGAUUAACACGGGGUAAUAAAUCAGUUUAAUUUGCAGCCACCUGGGCAGAACAGCAUGACCAAAAUUCCUUUAGUUAGUCAAGGGCAGAAGCAC